GGGCGGUUAGCUCAGUUGGUUAGAGCACCAGUAUGACACACUGGGGGUCGUUGGUUCAACUCCAAUACUGCCCAUCA
rnacentral:tRNA from 1 species